CCAGACUCCUACGGGAGGCAGCAGUGAGGAAUAUUGGUCAAUGGACGAGAGUCUGAACCAGCCAAGUAGCGUGAAGGAUGACUGCCCUAUGGGUUGUAAACUUCUUUUAUAUGGGAAUAAAACAGGGUAUGCAUACCCUCUUGUAUGUACCAUAUGAAUAAGGAUCGGCUAACUCCGUGCCAGCAGCCGCGGUAAUACGGAGGAUCCGAGCGUUAUCCGGAUUUAUUGGGUUUAAAGGGAGCGUAGGUGGAUUGUUAAGUCAGCGGUCAAAUCGUGGGGCUCAACCCCAUCCAGCCGUUGAAACUGGGGAUCUAGAGUGUGCGAGAGGUAUGCGGAAUGCGUGGUGUAGCGGUGAAAUGCAUAGAUAUCACGCAGAACUCCGAUUGCGAAGGCAGCAUACCGGCGCGCAACUGACGCUCAUGCACGAAAGCGUGGGUAUCGAACAGGAUUAGAUACCCUAGUAAU
rnacentral:rRNA from 1 species